CGGGCAAGACUUGGGGGCCACCAACUUGGGCAAGCCCAAAGGUAGAUCUAGGUCGUGUUGUUGCCUGGGUUUACUAACGUUGUGCUGACUCCAAGUUGGCGUCAGUGCGCUUUUCAAAUUUGUUUUCCACUGCUGGAAAGUCUAAGGGCAAUGCUGGACUGGGCUCUUGCCCGAAAGCACUGACAUUAGCCGUGACGUCACGCUGACGUUAGCUAAAUUUUUUUACCGUUGCCGCGUGAAUUUCAUGCGCCAACGGUAAAAAAAUAAUUGAUUUCAGCUGCUUACGUCUACGUCAUGUCACAGCUGAUACUAGCGCUGACAGGCACAACGGGAAGACGCCAUGUGGCGCUUCCCGGACGCUCCAAUAGAAUUUUGUCCAGAAAUCCUACGGGUUUGAAAUUAAAAAAAAAAAAAACACAAAUUCUGGAUUUUUGCCCUAUAAAUACCUAACAAUUUUAUUCACUUUCCACACCAAAUCUUCAUAUGAACUCUUCUCCUUCUAAUAUUUUUUACUUUCC
rnacentral:lncRNA from 1 species